rnacentral:tRNA from 1 species
AAUAAAUUGCCUGAUUAAAGGAUUACUUUGAUGUAGUAAAUUAAAUAAUUAAAAUUAUAUUUAUUA